rnacentral:lncRNA from 1 species
ACUAAAAAUGCUCCUGCAUCGAAAGCUAAUCUGGAAUCUGCCAGGAGAAGUAUCGAAUAUCGUAUUAGAGAGGAAGCGAAAAUCACAAGAGCGUAGUGUUCACAAUAACACAGUUGAUAUUCAAAAAAUUAUAUCCGAACAGACAAUUAACGAAUUACCAUUCAACGAUGUAGAAAACUUCCUUGAUUUUGAUAAUAAAUUAAAAACUGAUACAGUAAUGAUGCAAAAACUGAAAUGCUUUAUCAUGUUAAAUGUGAAAAGUACAUCAAAACUUUCUGAAAAUUUUUCUUUUAUAAUUCCUAAGAUUAUUUUACCAAGUAUUCAAGUACUCUACAGUGCUUUUGGGUGAGAAUCAAAAGGUGUAAAAAAGUUAAAUUUUUCUGGCACAGAAACUUAUAGAUAUUUGCUAGAAGUAGUUACAAUCAAAAUUUCCUGACAUAAAUGAAAAAGAAAUUUCAAGUCAAAUAGGUCGCUGGUUUUCAGGUGCAAAGGAUAGAGAUGGUGGAAAGAGAUACCGAUUAUUAAAUAAAAAAAGUCGUGAAGAGCGAAAAUAAAGACGAAACUCUAUAAUAUUAUGUAUUUGUAAUUAU